CAGCCGCCACGGUAAUACGUAGGUGGCAAGCGUUGUCCGGAAUUAUUGGGCGUAAAGCGCGCGCAGGUGGUUUAAUAAGUCUGAUGUGAAAGCCCACGGCUCAACCGUGGAGGGUCAUUGGAAACUGUUAAACUUGAGUGCAGGAGAGAAAAGUGGAAUUCCUAGUGUAGCGGUGAAAUGCGUAGAGAUUAGGAGGAACACCAGUGGCGAAGGCGGCUUUUUGGCCUGUAACUGACACUGAGGCGCGAAAGCGUGGGGAGCAAACAGGAUUAGAUACCCCCGUAGUCCCUGUCUCUUAUAC
rnacentral:rRNA from 1 species